rnacentral:rRNA from 1 species
UACGAAGGGGCUAGCGUUGCUCGGAAUCACUGGGCGUAAAGCGCACGUAGGCGGAUUGCUAAGUCAGGGGUGAAAUCCUGGAGCUCAACUCCAGAACUGCCUUUGAUACUGGCGAUCUUGAGUCCGGGAGAGGUGAGUGGAACUGCGAGUGUAGAGGUGAAAAUUCGUAGAUAUUCGCAAAGAACACCAGUGGCGAAGGCGGCUCACUGGACUGGUAUUGACGCUGAGGUGGCGAAAGCGUGG